GUCCCUGUAGCGCAAUGGAUUAGCGUGUUGAACUUCUAACUCAACGGUCUUGGAUUCGAAUCCCACCAGGGAUG